rnacentral:lncRNA from 1 species
AGGGAGGGAGGGAGAGAGAGAGAGAGAGAGAGAGAGAGAGAGAGAGAGAGAGAGAGAGAGAGAGAGAGAGAGAGAGAGAGAAUAUUAAAGUAAGGCGGGGGAAAGUGGCCCUAUAAAGCAAUGCAAACGGAAAUGGCAAGCCUCCAUAUAAACAGAAACAAGUCAACCAAGAAACCCCAGACAUUCAUAGGAAGACUGUGGGUGAGGAGUUGAGAGAAACAUGGGGUAUGACUCUGAUCAUGUAGAUUGCACGCAUCCACGAAAUAGUCAAAGAAUUAAAAAAUUACAUGGAAAAAAUUUUCAAAGUUACUUACACAUAAUUUUAAAACGCUGCAAAGGGGAUACAAUCAGUAUUAAUUAUGCCUCUCACCCCACCCAUUUGUCUGAGAUAAUCAUUUUCAGAGACUUCUAGAAAUGGGAAAAUAGUAAUAGUAUGGUUGUUUACUUCGAUCACCUCUGCCUUAACGUAAGUAGAAUUCUUUAUUACUAGCACAGCCUGUCUUCCUCGUACUUGCUCAGUAGGCUGGUAGCCAUCCUGAAGUUUGUUGAUGAAUCUUUUCGUCUACCCUGUCCUGUUACUUAGAUGGACAUCUUUUUUGUAUGAUGAAGGCAGAACCCAGGAUCAUGCACACACUAAGCAAGUAUCAAUCACUGAACUGUAUUCUCUCACUCACUGUCCAUUUUAAUUAUCUGCAUAUAGGAUUACAGAGUAAACAGUUACAAACAUAAUAAAUUGUGAGCAAAUAGUAGAAGCAAUUAUGGUUUUUCUACGUGUUUAAAAAGAUAUAACUUUAUAUACCUACUUUAUGUAUAUAUAUAUGUAUAUAUGUAUAUAUAUGUGUAUAUAUAUAUGUAUAUAUGUAUGUGUAUACACACACAUAUGUAUAUGUUUCUGGUACUGUCUUCAGCCUCUUAGUGCUCAAUUUAAACCUUUUAAACUUUUACUACAAUAUUUCUUAUGUAAAUUUUAGGCAAGAAGAUACAAUUUGUAUUUUUGUAUGUGUGUGUGUAUGCACUUGUGUGUCCAUAAAUAAAGCAUGUACAUUUCAUCAUAGUUUAGUUUAGUGUAUGCCAUGUACAUUUUUUAUUUAUUGAUACAUGAAAGUAAUAUGCAUUCCUAUCCACAUGUGCAGUCCUUUUGUCUGGUUCUCUGAUUUUUUGUUUGUUUGUUUGUUUGCUUGCUUGUCUUUUAGGACAGGGUUUCUCUGUGUAACAGAGCAUAAAGAGAUAAAGCUGCCUGUGCUUUUAUUUCAUAUCCUCUGAAUUUUGAUUGUUUUGUUUCAAAGUAAAUCAUCUUAAUUUAUUUAUUAUGUAUAGAAAUUCCAGGAAUCCAACUUCAUUUUUCAUUUAACACAAACAAUUGUCAAGUAUAUAAAAAUUCUAUCUUAUUUUCUUGACUUGAAUUCUAUCAGAUAUACUUUUCAAUUAAAUAGUUCCUCAAAGAGUUAAAAGCGAAGAAUUUGCACUGAAAGAAAAGAACUCAGAACUCUAUUGCAGUCAAAGGAAUGUAAAGUUAUGCAAGAUAUUUGUUUCCUGAGGAGCAUAGUUACCAUAAAUUAGGCUUUUAUGUUGCAAGGUCUCAGAUCAAUAAAAGAGUUCAUCACAUUUUGAACAUUUAGUUGAGCCCAGAGGGAUAAAUAGAAGAUUUUAUUAUGUAUUUUUGGCUCAUGUCGCAGCACCAUUACUACUUAAAUGGGCUCUUGGUUUUGCAUAUUCCCUAACCCAUAUCAAGUUUAAGUAAUGGGGUGUGAUUAUGACUUGGUUUCUGAACAUCACUUUGAAGUUAAUUCAGUGUAGCAAUCUGCAUGUGCUCACAAUGUAAUCUUUAAGGAGCAUAGUCCAUAUGUGACAAAUGAGUGGAAAUUAUCUCAGAUACUCAUGGCUAAAGCAGCCAAUGUGAGGUUUCCUUUCCCUCUUGUCUUGAAACCGUCAUUCUCUAAAAUAUCCCAAUGUGAAUCUAUAUGUCAGAGAAAUGGAGUUUCAACUGAAUCACUAAAGGAAAUGUGCAAGUGUUACAUGCAGCAAUAAAAAUCUUCAGGUUAUUUUAUCGUACCUGGCAAGGACUGUGUAGUUUGGGUCUCAUAUCAGGGAAACCUGUAAAUUUUUAACCACUUUAUUUUAUGAAACUGUGAAUGUUACAUGGCCUUGGUGAUAAAGCUGAAGGUGAGCAAGGGUCUGGAAGUGAGUUUUUUGGACCACCUUUCUAUGGGAAUUAAAAUGGAAAGUUAUUUUUAUCUUUGAGUAUAAGUUAAAGCAAUAUAUUAUAUUCAGUUUCUACAAGGCUGUAGUCAUCUCUUUAUAUUUGAGUGCAUAUUUUCAUGGAGUUAGAAAGGAUUUUUCCUGGAGGAAGAGGAAAAAUAUGCUUUUAGCAGCAGAGUUUCAACGC